GAUAGACUGAACAUGACACAAACACAGGAGAAGAAACACUUGAGGGAGGAAAGACUAGAAUUUCAGUUUUGGUCAAGUUGAGUUUAAGGAAGUGGGCAGCCAUCCAGUUAGAAAUAGAGAGGCAGUCAAAGACACUAGUCAAGAGGGACGGGGAGAGAUCAGAAGAGGAUAGGUAGAUUUGCAUGUCAUUUACAAAGAAAUGAUAUUGGAAGCCAAAG